GUACCAUGUGCAUGUGCUGACAGGGACUCAGAGACACAGAGCUCUCGGCUCAGACAGAACUAAACACAUCUGUGCAGCGGAGCCCAUGCCUCAUGCCGCUCUCCAGCCUGCUCGGGGUCUUCCUGGCCCUCAUCUUCUCGGGAUCAGGAGUGGCCCAGACAGUUACUCAAGACCAGCCAGCCGUAUCCACUCCCGUGGGGAAGACAGUCACCCUGAUUUGUCGGUAUGAAACAAGUGUUAGCAUAUACUAUAUUUUUUGGUACAAGCAGCCUCCCAGUGGAGAGAUGACUUUCCUUAUUCGUCAGGAUUCAUCUAGUGGGAAUGCCAAGAGUGGCCGCUACUAUGUAAACUUCCGGAAAGCAGAAAAAUCCCUCAGCCUCUCCAUCUCAAACUUACUGCUGGAGGAUUCUGCAAAGUACUUCUGUGCUCUCAGAGAAAGCACAGUGCUUGAAUGGGUGUCCUUCAGGAGCAGUGGGUGUCAUUUGCCAUCAGCUACACGCACACUUGGUCCAAGACAAAGAGAAGAUGAGGAGGAGGUGUGGUGGGAGGUGGACGAGUUGUGA